rnacentral:rRNA from 1 species
CCGCGAAAUGCAUUUAGGUGCAGCGUCGUGCGUUCAACGAUGGGGGUAGAGCACUGAAUGGGCUAGGGUUCCUACAAGACUACCGACCCCAAUCAAACUCCGAAUACCAUCGUUCCAGAGCACGGCAGUGAGACCUCGGGGGAUGAGCUUCGAGGUCGAGAGGGAAACAGCCCAGACCGCCGGCUAAGGUCCCAAAAUCUGAACUAAGUGGUAAACGAUGUGAGAUUGCGAAGACAGCCAGGAGGUUGGCUUGGAAGCAGCCAUCCUUGAAAGAGUGCGUAACAGCUCACUGGUCGAGUGAUCUUGCGCGGACAAUGUAACGGGGCUCAAGUUCAGUACCGAAGCCGCGGAUGCGACUCUUUGAGUCGUGUGGUAGCGGAGCGUCGAGCGUGCAGCGAAGCGGCGGGACAACCCAGCCGUGGAGCGCGUUCGAGUGCGAAUGUUGGCAUGAGUAGCGAAUGAGGGGUGAGAACCCCCUCCGCCGUAUGUCCAAGGGUUCCUGGGCGAGGCCAAUCCUCCCAGGGUGAGUCGGGAGCUAAGGCGAGGCCGAGAGGCGUAGUCGAUGCACAACUGGUUGAUAUUCCAGUACCACCAUGUUCGCGUCCGUCCCAAUACUCUGUUGCUAAGGGGCUGUGUUGACUUCGGUCAACGCGAACCGACCCACAUUGUUGCGGGAAGCUGUAGGGGGACGCAGGAAGGUAGAUGAACCCGGUGAAUGGUAGAACCGGGGUAAGCGUGUAGGAGGAGGACCAGGUAAAUCCGGGCCUCAUAAACUCUGAGACGUGAUACCGAGCCGCUUCAGGCGAAGUCAUUGAUCCUAUGCUGCCUAGAAAAGCCCAGCAGCGAGUUGACAUGGUGCCCGUACCCCAAACCAACACAGGUGGACAGGUAGAGCAUACCAAGGCGAGUGGGAUAACUAUGGUUAAGGAACUCGGCAAAUUGACUCCGUAACUUCGGGAGAAGGAGGACCCCAGUAGCGUGAUGAGACUUGCUCUCUGAGCGUGAAGGGGUGGUACAAAAUUGAGGGAAGCGACUGUUUACCAAAAACACAGCAGCGUGCUAAGCCGUAAGGCGCUGUAUACGCUGUGACUCCUGCCCGGUGCUGGAAGGUUACGGGGAUGGGUUAGUCCUUCGGGACGAAGCUCUGAACCUAAGCCCCAGUAAACGGCGGCCGUAACUAUAACGGUCCUAAGGUAGCGAAAUUCCUUGUCGGGUAAGUUCCGACCUGCACGAAUGGAGUAACGACUUCCCUACUGUCUCAAUCAUAGACCCAGCGAAAUUGAAGUACGAGUAAAGAUGCUCGUUAGCUGCAGAAGGACGGAAAGACCCCGUGGACCUUUACUAUAACUUGAUGUUGUGUUUUGUCAUAUGUUGUGUAGGAUAGGUGGGAGACC